UUACGGCCACAUCACGUUGAAACUCCGGUUCCCGUAUGAUCACCGAAGUUAAGACAACUUCAAGACUAGUCAGUACCUAGAUCAGUGACCGGUUUGGAAUAUCAGGUGUUGUU